rnacentral:misc_RNA from 1 species
CCAAGUAUGGACAAACAGCACUGAAAUAUUAUUUUAGCAAUCAGAUUUCAGUUCAUUGUUGAUGACAAGCACAAGCAAGAUACUUACUAUAACCAUCCAUUAAUGCCACAGCAAAAUGCAAUGGCAAGUGCAGCAAUACUUGUAAAAUCAAAGUUUAUGAAGAUGAACUUAGAGCCCUUAGACCAGGCAAAGUUUUAUUAAAUAACAAAAUGAAACCAAGAAAGAACAAAACACCAAAGUUUUUUUUAACCCUAAGAUAAAACAUU